UACGUAGGGUCCGAGCGUUGUUCGGAAUUACUGGGCGUAAAGGGCGCGUAGGCGGUCCCGUCAGUCCCUUGUGAAAUCCCCCGGCUCAACUGGGGAACUGCAAGGGAUACAGCGGGGCUUGAGUUCGGGAGAGGGAAGCGGAAUUCUUGGUGUAGCGGUGAAAUGCGUGGAUAUCAAGAGGAACACCUGAGGUGAAGACGGGUUGCUGGGCUGAUGACUGACGCUGAGUCACGAAAGCUAGGGUAGCAAACGGG
rnacentral:rRNA from 1 species